AUGGCGAGGUGUGAUGAUGGGAGCCGUUAUGGCUCGAUAUCCGGUUGUCCAGGCCGUCGAGAAAAGCCUCGGCGUGAGGGCCAUGGCCGCCCGUACCCCAAACCGACACUGGUGGUCAGGUAGAGAAUACCAAGGCGAUCGAGCGAAUCCUGGUCAAGGAACUCGGCAAAUCGCUUCCGUGCCUUCGGUAUAAGGGAGACCCGCUGGGGUGAACCGGCUAGCCCGGGGAGCUUUGGUGGGUGGCACAGACCAGGGGGUAGCGACUGUUUACCAAAAACACAGGUGCAUGCGAAGGCGAAAGCCGCUGUAUAUGCACUGACGCCUGCCCGGUGCCGGAAGGUUAAGAGGAUCCGUCAGUCCUUCGGGAUGAAGCGGUGAAUUCAAGCCCCGGUAAACGGCGGUGGUAACGAUAACCAUCCUAAGGUAGCGAAAUUCCUUGUCGGGUAAGUUCCGACCUGCACGAAUGGCGUACGACUUCCCCACUGUCUCGACCAGGAGCUCGGCGAAAUUGCAGUACGAGUAAAGAUGCUCGUUAAGCGCAGAAGGACGAAAAGACCCCGGGACCUUUACUAUACCUUGGUAUUGGCGUUAGGCGCGGAUUGUGUAGCAUAGGCGGGAGGCUUCGAAGCGUGGGCGCCAGCUCAUGUGGAGCCGCAAGGUGAAAUACCGCUCUGUUCUCGUUUGACGUCUAACCUCGACAAGUCAUCCUUGUCAGGGACAGUGCCUGGCGGGUAGUUCAACUGGGGCGGUUGCCUCCCAAAGAGUAACGGAGGCGCUCAAAGGUCCGCUCAGCCCGGUUGGCAAUCGGGUGUCGAGUGUAAUCGCACAAGCGGGCUUGACUGCGAGGACGACGGUCCGAGCAGGGACGAAAGUCGGAGAUAGUGAUCCGGUGCCGGCGCACGGGCGCGGCAUCGCUCAACGGAUAAAAGGUACCCCGGGGAUAACAGGCUGAUCAUUCCCAAGAGUCCAUAUCGACGGGAUGGUUUGGCACCUCGAUGUCGGCUCGUCGCAUCCCGGGGCUGGAGCAGGUCCCAAGGGUUCGGCUGUUCGCCGAUUAAAGCGGCACGCGAGCUGGGUUCAGAACGUCGUGAGACAGUUUGGUCCCUAUCCUCUGCGCUCGUUGGAAUCCUGAGGAGGCCUGCCCAUAGUACGAGAGGACCUGGGUGGACGAACCUCUGGUAUGCCGGUUGUCGCGCCAGCGGCACGGCCGGUUGGCUACGUUCGGGAGGGAUAACCGCUGAAAGCAUCUAAGCGGGAAGCCUGCUCCAAGAUUAGGAUUCCAUGGAUCUUCGAGAUCCUGUAGCCCGCAUGUUGAACACGUGUUUGAUAGGCCGGAGGUGGAAGCCCCGUGAGGGGUGGAGCCGACCGGUACUAACGGGCGACGGCGUCAA
rnacentral:rRNA from 1 species